rnacentral:lncRNA from 14 species
GUUAUCUUUGGAUGGGAAUGAAAGAGAGUGUUGUCUUCUUUCUCUCAUGACUCUAGGGGGAGACUAGAAGAUUAGUCUCAGCUAGACAAGUCAAUGGCUGAAGUUUGGUGAAAUGAAUCCUAUUUUUACUGUCUGUCCCUUGCUGCUGCUCAGGCUCCAGCUGAAGACACUGCAUGCUUAUUAACUUCAAGAGGGUUUCUGACUACAGAAGAUGAUAAAGAUCAAGAUCCUUAUUCUCAGGAGAUAGCCUUGAAAAAACCCAGAAGGAAGUCAGUAGGGAAAAUGCUACAUGGACAGAGGAGUCUUGAAAUAGAAAGCUGGUCCAGCAUUUCUAGGAGAUGACAGAAAUUUUUAACUAAGCUUUGCUGGAGAUGUUCAACUGGUUGGAACUAAGCCAUUUCCAGAAGAGGUGAAUCAGUGUCUAGCAAUUCACUAAACCACUUGUCCAAGUCCUGGUUGCUGAAAAUCUGUGCUGGUUGCUAAAAAUCUGCACUGGUUGCUAAAAAUCUGCAUUUCAUUGCCUUCCUGAGGGUAGAGUCCACCAGCACACACAAGUGCAUCCAGGGAGGCAGCUCUAAAAACUCGCUUAAGCUGAUUUCAGGCUCUCAGGAACCUCAUGUUUUCUUUCCUGACAGUUACAUCAAUCCACAUUCUGUUACAGGCUCUCAUCAGUUCCACUCCCGUGGCUGGGGAGAAGACCGGGUCUGGCAGUCCUGGAUAGAAAUGGUGGGAUUCAUCCCGUCUAACUUGAUUUAUCUAAACAUUGAGAGUCCAGUAUCACGUGUUUACUGUUCAUCUUGAUGUAGUCAACAGGAAUUGAUGGGCUUCCUAGACUAAUGUGUUCCACCUGGUCUAGUCAUCACAGCAGCAGCUUCAGAACAUCUAUUUAUGACUGUUGAUCAGGAAUUAGCAAAGAUUGUGGCCUCACUGUGGUCUGAUGUUAGGUAAAAUUAUGCCACUGGCCAAAUGACUCAUUAUUCUCUUGCCCUACAGUGCCAUAGAAGCUGAGUUAGGCAUGUUGGGCAGAUGACCAGAAUUUGGUCCUCACAGCUUGUCUGUUGCCUGGCAAAAUGAGUUCUGGUCAUUAGGGAACUAAAACAGUAGUAUUAUUAAUGGUUGUUACAUGCUAAUUGUCACUUUGAGCCUACUCUCAGACUAUUUCUUGAGGUCAGCAAUCUAAGAUGUCUGGAAACAGCUGUGGGAACUGACUGGGGCUCUGCAUGAGCUGUUUAUUACAUUAAUGUUCAUUGUUGGAAGCACUGAGCCUUACAGAAAGGAAUAAAAGCUGUAGAUCUGUUCCCCUUUCCCUCUUA